rnacentral:lncRNA from 1 species
GACACAACUCUCGCUGACAAGGGGAACGUCAGAGAAUCACACCAUAAAAUCCCCAUUUAGCCAGCUCACUGCACUUGUCCCGACCUUCAGCAUGGCAGGGCAGGGUUGUGAAGUUCAGGAAAUUCUGUAGCCACUCCUCUGAGACAGCAGAUAUAGGAUCCUGAGCCUUGAGAACAGGUGCUUGUUUAAAACAACAACAACAACAACAACAACAACAACACUAAUUCAGCGCCAUCUGUAUGCCAAGACCUGGGUUAGAUACUGUUGGUGUAGAGCUCAUCAUGGCAGAGUGAGACUCAAAGAUGGUUUUAGCCUGAUGCCUCUGCACUCCCACAGCUCCUCCAUCAGCUCGCACGGGCCUAGCAGACCCCAGGCUGCUCACAGGACCUGCUUCUGGCACUCUUCCCAUGGCCUGUGCAACUCUACUGUCCUGGCCUUUGUCCCAGGCUACCUGUCUCAUAGGGUCAGCCGAAGGUCUUGAGACCUGUUUGCCUUGCUGCCCUGGUUGGUGCAAAGAGAUCCCCCACACCCUUCUCUCUGGCGAGGUCCCCCUCACGCCCCACAUCAAAGGAGUUCUCAGUCCUUGGAACAAAGCAGAGGCUCUGUUCUGCCACUUGUUUCUAGUCCGAGCCAACACAGAGCGUGGGCCUUCCUGGGGGCUCAAGGACAGGCACUUACUUGCCUUUCUUCUGUCCUCUGGCCUGGUCAGCAGCCCUGAGACGCCCAGGGCUUUCUCUUACCUGCACCCUUGCACCUCAAGGGUGCUCCACAGCGAGCACUGUGAGCAUCACCUGGGAGCUCGUCUGAACAGCAGAAUGUCCGGCCACCCCAAACCUGCAGAAGCAGCAUCUGCAUUUGCCCAAGAUCUCCAAGGCAUUCCUGUACCUGCUUGAGAGGUGCUGCCCUAGAGGACACUGGACCAGGACAAGCAGGAGCCCCUGCUGCUCUUGCCCCUCGCUUUCCAGCCCUCCAGCCCGGGUACUGUCCUCCUCCCACAUCCCUGCUGGAAAUGGAAUGCCCCUUGAAUGGAUCACAGCCUUCUUCUUUUUUUUUUUUUUGCAUUACAUUGCCCUUUCCUGUCUUCUCCACCUGGGUGCCCACAUCCAUCCUUUCAGACUUGCCCUCUCUGGAAGCAAGUGCUCAGGUCUUGCACACCGCCUGGUCAGUGUCUGCACACCGGGAAGGCAGUGGCGGCCGCUUCAUUCAUUAAUUGCGGUGCCUGCAGAGCCCCAUGGGUAGUCACCCUGUUAUAGCACAUCAACAACAGAUUUACUGCCACAUGAUCCUGAACUCCAGCGGCUGCCCCAGGUGCCUUAUGUGGGAUCCAGACGGUGAUCUUCAACCCAUCUUCUUCCACUUGAAAUGACUUCAGCUGUGACUUGGGAGGACUAUAAACACCGUGGAUGGAAUGACUGAAUUGUGUAAAGGUGACAAGGGCAACAGUUGAGUUUGCUGUGCUGGAACCAGUAACAUAGGCUCCCUGGAGGCGACUGCCCACAUCUCUUCCACUUCCAGCAGCAACCGUGCCACACCACCUGCCCAUAAUUAGGCAGGUGCUUUAAUCAUUUAAAAAAAUGUCUGCAUAUUGUGAUGUUUUGAUAUCUUAAAAAAAAAAAACCCAAAAUCCUUUCUGAAUGGGGAGAGACUGCUGUCCCAGGAUCAACCAGUUCUUAGAGACAGCAAAGGGCUGGGCUGGGAGCUUGCCCCUGGGAUGCAAGGUUAUCAAUUCAGAGCCUACCUCCUAUGUCCAGGUGCCCUGGGAGGCAGUAGUUCUUUAUUUUACCUGGCCAGCCCAGGUCCCAGAGUAGAGACCACCACUAUAGCCCAAAGCCCACCGAUAUUAUUCACUCUAGCCAGUCCUAAACUGUUUCUCUGCCUUGCCUUUCCUGAGGAAGCUGCAGGGAAGGCUUCUGACUUAGGCUUCUUCUUGUUCUUGCUUUUGCCCCUUGACUGCAGCCUGGGGUUAAUUCCUAUGGCCCCGUAUGAUGAGCCACGCUUCUCGCUUGUAGGGAGAGUGUGAGUAACAUUAAACUUUCCUUUCAAUGGCAUUGACCUCUGCAUAUUGUCACUCAGUCACCUUUAUAAAUUAAGACCGGAAAUGGGCAAAUGGUACACAUCAGACCUCCCCCCAGCUCCCAGAGAGCUGGCAUACUAGCACACCUCAGGUUACAUGUGUGUGCAAGUGUGCAUGUGCCAUGGAUGUUAACACUCCAACAACAGAGCCACUGCCUUCCUCACCUGGCAGUAGAGCUCCAGGACAGGGUGGAUUGACACACAGGAGGAACUCAAUAAAUUUUUGUCAAAUGAAGGCA